UUAUUAUAUGUUCUAUUUGCUAACAGUUUUCAGCAGAUAUUUAUCAAACUUAUUUUGAGAAUAAGGUUUGUUUGAAACAGAAUUUUGAUGGAAAAAGGAAACAACCAAUGUAAAAGGAAGACUUCAAACAGAGGUUUCAAAAGAUGUAAUUUGAGUUUGAGUUGUUUCCCUUGUUAACCAUUAUGGAGGGAUAAUUGGUCUAUUUUCUUAUCUCCUUUUUUACCACUAUGGAGGAAUAAUAGGUUGAUUUUCUUAUCUCCCUUGUUUACCAUUAUGAAGGAAUAAUAGGUUGAUUUUCUUAUCUCCCUUGUUUACCAUUAUGAAGGAAUAAUAGGUUGAUUUUCUAAUCUCCCUUGUUUACCAUUAUGGAGGUUGAUUUUCUAAUCUCCCUUGUUUACCAUUAUGGAGGAAUAAUAGGUUGGUUUUCUUAUCUAACCAAAUUAAAACAUGCACAGUCUGCACGGUUAGCCACUAGUCCGAUGCCCCAGACUAGUAAAAUUUCAUUCGGACUAGUAAGUUUUUGCAAAACUUUGUUUGGCCAAAUAAGAAAAAUGUCAGAAUAUUGGUCUAUGGACUAGUGGUUGAAAAAGUUUUUGGUGCAGACUGCAU
rnacentral:lncRNA from 1 species